ensembl:lncRNA novel transcript
GUUUUGCUUGAAGUGUUUGUUCUUACAAUAAGGUUCUAUGGAGAGUAGCCUGAAACAAAGAUAACUACGGGCUAUGCCUGUCACAGUGUUCAAUUUAGUGUGUGUGCUGAAAGGGUUAUUUACUCCUGAUAGUUUAUACAAUUCUCAAGGAUAUAUUUGUUUACUUUUGUUUUGUUUUCCAGGAUUGUUUUUAAAGUGAUAAGUUAACUUUUAAAGAAGAGUAAUGUCCUGAAUAUGAUGAAACACAAAUAUUUAUGCUGAGCAUUCUACUGAAACUUAACUGGACAAACAAUCUCAAAAAUAGACAAUUUUCAGGUUGAAUCUUCCACUUUGCCAGGGUCAUAAGUGAGUAGACAUUUUCCCUAUUUGGCAGGAUAGUCCUCUAGAGGCUGUUCACAAUGGCAGCUGUGAGGGGACCUUGGUUUCCUUCUAAGGGCUAGCGAGCUGCCUGGAACUUUCCUUGAAGGAACUCAGGAUUUUCCUUUAUUUCCAUGCUUGGAGGAGAGGGGAUUCACAGGCCCCUAAGAGGGGCCUCUGCUCCAUCUCACUGGUUGUGAAACAACAACA